UACGUAGGGUGCAAGCGUUAAUCGGAAUUACUGGGCGUAAAGCGUGCGCAGGCGGUUUUGUAAGUCUGUCGUGAAAGCCCCGGGCUUAACCUGGGAAUUGCGAUGGAGACUGCAAGGCUUGAAUCUGGCAGAGGGGGGUAGAAUUCCACGUGUAGCAGUGAAAUGCGUAGAUAUGUGGAGGAACACCGAUGGCGAAGGCAGCCCCCUGGGUCAAAACUGACGCUCAUGCACGAAAGCGUGGGGAGCAAACAGG
rnacentral:rRNA from 1 species